UACGUAGGUGGCAAGCGUUGUCCGGAUUUACUGGGCGUAAAGAGCGCGCAGGCGGCUGGUCAAGUCCGAUGUGAAAUCUCCCGGCUUAACUGGGAAACUGCAUCGGAAACUGAUUGGCUUGAAGGUGGGAGAGGGUAGUGGAAUUCCCGGUGUAGUGGUGAAAUGCGUAGAUAUCGGGAGGAACACCAGUGGCGAAGGCGACUACCUGGCCCAUUCUUGACGCUGAGGCGCGAAAGCUAGGGGAGCGAACGGG
rnacentral:rRNA from 1 species